rnacentral:lncRNA from 1 species
UUCUACUCUCAGAGGCUUUUGAGGGUCUGCCACUAGCCAAGCCAGGGGAUGAACGGACGAACGGACGGACGGACAGACGGACAGACGGGGGCAGCUUUGAGAAGACCUUGGAGACGGAAAUAUUUCUCAGGAAAUGUCAAACUGGAAUAUCUACAUUAUAUCUACAUAUGAAAUAAUAAAUCAAGUUCAGGUUUUUUUCCCAUCUGACCAAAAAAGAAAAAAGAAAAGAAACAAUAAAAUGGGUUUAGAACAUUG